UACGAAGGGUGCAAACGUUGCUCGGAAUUAUUGGGCGUAAAGCGCACGUAGGCGGCCUAUCAAGUCGGAUGUGAAAUCCCUCGGCUCAACCAAGGAAGUGCAUCCGAAACUGGCAGGCUUGAGUACUUAAGAGGAUCGCGGAAUUCCCGGUGUAGAGGUGAAAUUCGUAGAUAUCGGGAAGAACACCCGUGGCGAAGGCGGCUCUCUGGGACGGUACUGACGCUGAGACGCGAAAGCGUGGGGAGCGAACAGG
rnacentral:rRNA from 1 species